rnacentral:rRNA from 1 species
CCCUUAGAUGUUCUGGGCCGCACGCGUGCUACACUGAGUAAUUCAAUGGGUAAGGGAACGCUAGAGCAUUACCUAAUCUUGAAAUUUGCUCGUGAUGGGGAUCGACGGUUGCAAUUUUCCGUCGUGAACGAGGAAUACCUUGUAGGCGCAUGUCAUCGUCAUGCGCCGAAUACGUCCCUGCCCUUUGUACACACCGCCCGUCGCUCCUACCGAUUGAGUGAUCCGGUGAGGCUCUGGGACCUGGACGGAAAGAGCGUUUCGCUUGUUCUGUUUGGGAAACUUGGUCGAACCUUAUCAUUUAGAGGAAGGAGAAGUCGUAACA